rnacentral:rRNA from 1 species
AGGGAAUCUUCCACAAUGGACGAAAGUCUGAUGGAGCAACGCCGCGUGAGUGAAGAAGGGUUUCGACUCGUAAAACUCUGUUGUUGAAGAAGAACACAUCUGAGAGUAACUGUUCAGGUGUUGACGGUAUUUAACCAGAAAGCCACGGCUAACUACGUGCCAGCAGCCGCGGUAAUACGUAGGUGGCAAGCGUUGUCCGGAUUUAUUGGGCGUAAAGCGAGCGCAGGCGGUUUCUUAAGUCUGAUGUGAAAGCCUUCGGCUUAACCGGAGAAGUGCAUCGGAAACUGGGAGGCUUGAGUGCAGAAGAGGACAGUGGAACUCCAUGUGUAGCGGUGAAAUGCGUAGAUAUAUGGAAGAACACCAGUGGCGAAGGCGGCUGUCUGGUCUGUAACUGACGCUGAGGCUCGAAAGCAUGGGUAGCGAAC